AGGGGAGGGGAGGGGCCCGCUCCCCGGGGACGCGCCUUUCCGGCCGCGCUCCCCGCCCGGCGCCCGCCGUCCUGCCACUCCGCGGCGCUGCGCCGUCGGGCCCCGUGCGUUCCGCUCUCAGGCUCGGGCGCUGGGGGCGCCGUGGUGCCCGGGGCCUUGGGGGCCUGUACCUUCGGCCCGAGGGCGGAGAGAGCCCGGAGGGCAGCGUGACUGCCCCGGGAGCCGUGUGCGCGGGGCGCCGGCUCCGGAGGCGCCGCCUCGGGGCUGCCUCCCCUCCUCGGACGUCUACCCAAGGGCGCGCGGCGCGCGAGGGCCCCGAGGCACAGGCCGCCGGGCGGGCGGCGCGAGGAGGGAGCAGAGCUGAGGAGCGUGGGCAGCGCAGAGCGCCUGCUAAGCCAGCAGCCGGUGCUGGGGGAGCACGCAGGGACGCCUGACCGUGGCCGGAGAGGUUCAGAGUAUUCUUCCUGGAAAAAAGCCGGCUGAAACCUGAAGGGGAGGUCAAGGGCUGGACUUGAGCAGGCAAGACAAGGAACUGCGGCCUUGUCGACAGUACGGAGAACUAGAACCCUCCUGAGACGAAAUUCCGCCUUUCUUCUGUGCAGGAGUUGGGCUGGUUCGGUCAAGGGCAGCGCCGAGGCGGGACAAGAAAUAAUAUCCAAAGAUAUUUUGGCACAGCGUGCUCUAAAGAUAAGCAGUCUCUUCCAACUGGUGAGAUAUCCAAGGAAACAGAACCAAAACAGUGGAGAGGAAAAUACAAAAAAACAUGUUUAAUAUUAUUAAGGGCAUGAAAUUUGAGUCAAACACAGUAAAUGGACAAACAACAAAAUCAUGAAACAAAAGACAACUUCAGAGUUUACAGGCUGCAAUGGGCAGGCUUCAAAAUCGAUGAGAUGCUCCACAGAAAAGGAGAAACCAGAAGCUCUCUCUACUCUUCAACAUGCCCAAAGUGGGUCAUAAGAAUUAGACAGCAAAGAAAAAUGAGACAGUUUUUGGGGAAAAAAAAAACAACAAAUAGAAAUUCUGGAAAGAGAAUACUACACAGCAGUGAAAAUGAAUUACCUACCGCUUGACUCAACAGCAUGGAUAAAUCUCAUAAAUGUUAUGCUGAAUGAAAGCAAGCAAAGGGUACAGCCUAUAUAGUUUCAUUUAUUUAAAGUACAAAAACAGGAAAAAGUAAUCUAUGCUGUUAGAAGUCAAGAAAGCGGUUACCCUGGGAAGGUAGUGACAAUAAGCGGACGUGAGAGGGCCUCAGGAGUAGGUAUUGUUUCUUGAUUUGAGCUGCAGGUAUGUGUUCAGUUUGUGAAAAUCUACCAGGUGGCAAGUGUGUACUCUUCAGGAUGCAUGCAAUACCUCAAUUAAAGAACAAAAUGAAAUUCUCUUGGCACAACAAUCUAAAAUUGGCAUGUCCAUCUUACAAGAGUCAGUGAAUCUGAAGCCAAACAGCAUCAGCCAACGUAAACUGUGGCCAGAUACAGCUGUGCCUUUGCAUCUGCCCUGUGGGGGAUUUCAGACCAGCCUGGGAAAGCAACGGAGCAAUCACACCGUGCUACGGGGAGGUUCCCAAGGGAUGUCCCAGGCCAGAUGCUCUCAGCAAGGACCCAAAGACUGCCUGUUUCUAACACAGAAACCGGGCCACUAACCUCAGAACAGGACUUGAUCCUAAGAUUCUGUCAAAAUUUGCAACUGUACUUCUCCAAUGAACCAGACAGAACAUUCUAUGUGGGAACUCAGGGACAUGCAAGCUCCACUUGAUGAAACCUGCCCGCUUUAUGAACGAAGACACACAAACCAAGAUCAUCUGGUUGAAAUCAGGGAGUGUGAUCUGACCCCAGCUCUGCCUACUGGCCACCAAAGCCAGGCUCUUUCCACACCCUCACACUGCUUUACAAAAGCCCUGAGGUGGCCUUGUCUGUAGGACCACCCUUGGCCCAUGUGCCUAGAUUAAUCUCUGUCCCCUGCUCCCUUGCAACCUUUGUGUGUUGUAAGAUAUCACUCUCACUGACUUCAGAGAACAACAUCCCAUCCUCUAAGUAACCUUGGAUUGGAAGCCAAUGGGCACAGUGUGGAAAGUCUGGAACCAAGAGGCCCAGAGGCCAAAUGCAGCCCCCCAAGUUGCAGCAACAGAAGGAUCUGGGUUUGAGUGUCAACUCUGAGCUCCUUCAAUAUUCACUGGCAUGCUCUGCAGGGGGGGUACAGUGAUCACAGGAGAAUGUGCACCUGGGCCCAGGAGCACCCGAGGAACCCGACAGAUGUCCACAACAUGGGCUCCUCCUCAGCCCGAGACUUGACUUGAGAUGCUGCUGAGGACCAAGUCCAAGGGAGGGAAAGGAGACCUAGGCUUAGAAUUUUAUUUCUGGAACUUUAAAAGAAGCCUCUGGUUUUAGAACAGAGACUGCAAAAAGCAGAGCCAGACAGAAAAGACCUUUCUGGGUAAAGGGAAUACAGAGCAUGUCCCAACCUGACUAUGAUGCUUCCCCGGUGGGAGUGGGUUGGAUUUUCCCAUUUAUCUUGAGGAGAUACGAAUUUUAAAAGCUGACAAAUUCCAAGCCAGACGUCUCUGAACUCCUUAGGAUCCCAACAGUCUGGGCUUCCAAAAUGAAUACAAAGACCACAGGCUGAGGCCCCUCUGUGGGGUCAGUGGACACUCAUGGGAAGGAACCUCUAGCUCUGCACCCAACACCCCCAAUCCAACUGCAGGCAAAUAGACAUGGAGUGGAGUCUGGGUGGGGGAGAAGCUGCGAGGGAGAUGAGGGAUGGGCCAGGGAGGAGCUGUGGGGCUGGCCCAGGAGCUGUGGCCAUACCCACAACCCCCAGGGUGGGAUAUCUGGCUCACAUAGGACGUCUGGGUGUGAACACUCGGGAGAGAACGGUUCACUAAGGGAAGUGGUAAUGGUAGGAGCUAGGCCUCGAUUUCUCUUUAUAGGAAGAAAAGGGCUCUGAGUGAGGAAAUGGGGUGGUUCGUUGAGUCUUCAUUCUUUCGAGCUUUUUCCUUAAGAACCUCAUAAAAUCUGAGGAUCAGGAAAGUUACUCCUGAAAUGAUUGGUACUGACCAAGAAGAGCACAACACAGCACGUCACGGAAAACCCAAGCACCCCCGCCCUCCACAACACACUGCCUACGUGAAGAGCUGGCCCAGGAGAGGUGCGCCAGGGCUGGGCUUCCAACUCUGCCCCAGACAAGUGACCCAGGCAAGGCACAGCAACCCUGAUCCGCCAAGCCCCAGAUCUGAGAGCAAGGAGAUGUGAUUAAGUGAAAACCCAUUUUCCUACAAACCAAAAACAUCAAGUUGGAGAAACAACAGGUACGAGUUUGGCAGGGGAGCCGAUGGAAGAUACCUCCCUGUCCUGUGAGACCCACAUCCCAUGCCAUCAAAGUCCGGGCCCCAGUGGGGACACCUCUUGGCCAGGAUGGCAUAGUGAUGCCAGGGCCCAUGGCCAUCUCCACAGUAACCCACCAAAAACUGCUUCCUACAGGCCUACGGGGCAGCCUUGCCCCACCUUCUCGGACCCAGGCCUGGCACCUGUUCCAGGCCCCUCCCUCUUACCUGUGUG